rnacentral:tRNA from 1 species
GGUCCCGUAGCUCAACUGGAUAGAGCACCUGACUUCUAAUCAGGGGGUUGAGGGUUCGAGUCCUUCCGGGAUCGCCA